UUGCUUAUAGGUCAUCCGCAAGAUAGUGCUAAAGAAAAGAUGGCUGCAGUCCGUGCAUGGUUAUUGAUGGCAUUACUCGCAAGCAUUUGCUUGGUGAAAGAAAAUAAUGCAGAAGAUAUUGGUUACGGCACUAUUGGAAAAGGUGGUGGUGAAGUUCAUUGUGGAGUUGGGACAUAAGGGGAAUUGUCGUCCUCAUGAAGCAGCGCCUUACCAUAGACCUUGCCAGAAAAAGGAUGGGUGUAGAGGAGAUCCACCGAACACGGAAAAGAUAGUUGAACAUGAUGGAAAUUUGCCGAAGCCCAAAGCAGGGAAGAGAAUUAAAGAUGCUGAACAGUUGCUUCACUCACUUGGGCCAACUCCCAUGUGAGUUUGUCAAAGUAUGCAAGAGAAGGAGAUAAAAUCUCUUUCCUCGUUAAAAGAAGAGAAGAAGAUCGAUGAAUUCUCGCACUUUGUCGAGUUAUGUUAUAUCUAUUUGU